CUCCUCGUCUUCCAGGAUCAUCCCCAAAUAAUAACAGGAACAAGAAACAAAAAAUGGAAACACAUACUUCAUUGCCAAUGAGACAAGAGAUGCUUAAUUCAAAUAAAACUUGAAUACAGAAAAAGAUGGAGUCAUCAUGAAUGAUGUAGCAGGUAGGAGGAAGGCCACGUCUAAGUGAGAGUGCAUGUGUGUGCACACACAUUUGAAGGGUGACAACCAGGAGCAAGCAGAUAUUUUGUAUAGACCUGAGACAGCCUGAGAGAUUGGAGCCUGCCAGGGGAGCGAGUUGUUAAAUCUCAAGAGAUUCUUUUACCAAGUUCAAGUUUUAAAUAAAUGAAACUGUACAGACUCCAACAUACCAUCUUGAGAUAACCUCAGGCCCUGAAGUGUAUUGACAAGCAGUUUGAUCUCAGCAAAGUUGUAAAACUGUCUUUGAAAAGAAUAACUGGAUGAAAAACAUUAGCAGCAACUGAAUCAAGAGAAAACGUGACUUCAAACUGAAAGGCACCCUCAUGGAUUUCAGGUACUUUUAGAAUCAAACCUGGAAAGGAUACAAAAAGCAGAAGCAAGACCAGCAUUUGGGAGAACAGAUUAUGACAGUACCUUAUAUUGAAACAUCACUUCUCAUUUGCUGUUUGGACAAUGGUGAUGGAACUGCUGCUUUAUUGCCCACGGAGAAACGAAGCGAAGAGUCUAAAGUGGGUCUUGCAGUUACACUGGACAAAAGAAGUUUGAAACUGAGGCUUGGUCCUGAAGAACACAUAGCGAAGGCUGACAGAUUAUAUAUAUAUUCACGGCUUUGGCUUAAAGGUUGCUGGUUGACCAAUAAGUAAUACAAGAAGAAAUUGUCUUUUCUGGAAUUGUCCUUCUUUCCAGGAUUCCUCGGGCUGUGGUGUGAAGAAUAGACUAUAGGCCUUGAGUGGAAACAGGGAACCAUUUAAGACUUUGAAAUAACACAGGCAAAAAAUGAUGGUGGUUACAUCAACAUGAAACAGUGAAGGUGGUAAGUGAUCAGAUUUAUAUAUGUUUUGGAGGUAGAGCCAUAUUUUCUGAAGCACUUUAGAUGAAAGACUUUGACUAUAUACUUUUGUUUUGGAGAUUUUUAAAAAUGUUACUUGCCCACUCACUCCCUUACUCAUCCACUAUUUACCAAAAUGUUCCAAGACAUAUUUUCAUAAGUUUUAUUUUUCAGUAAUUUGCCACUUUAUAUUUAGCAUUAAACUAUCCUUGAUGAUUAUUAUUAUUUCUGUAAUAAUCACUUUUGACCCCAGAAACAUUCCUGAGAAGAAAGAAAACUGCUUGUGAGGCUGGAUGUGGUGGCUCAUGCUGUGAUCUCAAUGCUUUGGGAGGCUGAGGUAUGGGAGGAUCGUUUGAGCCCAGGAGCUGGAGACCAGCCUGGGCAACAGAGAAAGACCCCAUAUCCAAAAAAAAAAGGCAAAAAUUACGCAGGAAUGCUGACGCACACCUGUAGUCCCAGCUACUCAGGAAGCUGAAGCAGGAGGAUUGCUUGAGCCCAGGAGUUCGAGGAUGCAGUGAGCCAUACCACUGCAAAGAAAUAAAGAGAGAGAGAGAGAGAGAGAGAGAGAGAGAGGGAGGGAGAGGGAAGGAAGGAAGGAAGGAAGGAAAGGAAGGAUUACAAUGCAUGCUAAUUUUAUCUCAUAUGCACAAUUUUAAAGUAUCCAGGUCUACUUUGGAUUUCUUUCCAAUACUGAACACUAGAGCUAGUUAUCACGUUAAUUUAUAGAGCCCCAAGUCUUUAAUGUAAGAAUUGAAUUACUUGAGAUGGUCUUGUCCAACUUUCUAUUUUAAAGAUGGAGAAACUGAGGCUCUAACAAUUCCUGGGAGCUUUGGUUUUUCAUUAACAGUGCUAAAUGUUUCUCCAAGGGCACUUCUAGUUUUAUAAUUUCAAUGAUUUAAAAAUUUAAAUUUGUUAUUGUAUCACACUUCCUUUAAACAUCACAAGCCAGUAGAGCUUGAAUUCCAUUUUGCUUGACAGACAUCAGGAAAUCCAGAUGAUGACAAUGUUUUCUUUCCUGAGCAUUUCAAGGAAUACUUGAGGAAUGCCUAUAUGUCCCAAGAUCCAACCUGGUUGUCAUUUGUCAUUUCAGCCAUCUGACUUGCUCUGACCAUGGGCCAAGGCAAUAGAAUUAUUGCUGUUCCCUUCUUGUCGAUUUUACACCACCUUCUUAUUUUUAGUAAAGACAGCACCAUAACCUUCAGUGAGAGUUUCCUAAGGUCUGGAGGACAGUGCAGUGUGAUUCCAGUGAAGAGUGACUGGUUUGGUUCUGUCAGUCCUGUGGGUUCACAGGUUUAAGUUUUUUGAUUGUGGUUCACUAUUGGGUUCCUCUUUCUUUACUUCUUUUGCUUGGCUUUAGUGUAGUUAUGGACAUAUGACUAUGUAAAAGGGAUGAGUUUAAUUGUCCUAAAUAAAGUACCC
rnacentral:lncRNA from 1 species